CAGCAGCUGUACCUGAACCUAUGGCUGCAUGUGAACUUCUCACCUCGUCAGCCCAACUCAGUCGCUCGACAGGAUACCUGGAGGGCCAAAGAGUAUGACAAAGCAAUGUGAAUGCACAGCUGAUGGGAGCCCUUCUGGAAUGUUCCUCAUUACUGCGUUGCCAGGUGUGAUGAGAAUCCUCUGCCAGAUUUGAAAAAGCACGCUCAACAUGACAUCACGUCAGGGUGACAACAGGAAGUGAUAAUAUAGCUCACAGCAUGGACAUGAAGGAACUAGAUCUAGAACAAAAAAUAAUUAAUCAAAGUCCAAAGAUGACAAAAACAGAUGCAUAUAGCUUCUAGCAAGUCACUGAUGAAUGA